GGAUAUAGCUCAGUGGUAGAGUGUGUGCUUAGCAUGCAUGAGGUCCUGGGUUCAAUCCCCAGUACCUCCA
rnacentral:tRNA from 1 species